AGCGCUGUUGGUCCCUCCUGGAUCAAUGACACCGGAGCUUGCUUUGUUGGAUUAUUGGCGAACGGGUGAGUAACACGUGAGUAACCUGCCCCCGACUCUGGGAUAAGCCUGGGAAACUGGGUCUAAUACCGGAUAUGACCUCCUACCGCAUGGUGGGUGGUGGAAAGAUUUAUCGGUGGGGGAUGGACUCGCGGCCUAUCAGCUUGUUGGUGAGGUAAUGGCUCACCAAGGCGACGACGGGUAGCCGGCCUGAGAGGGUGACCGGCCACACUGGGACUGAGACACGGCCCAGACUCCUACGGGAGGCAGCAGUGGGGAAUAUUGCACAAUGGGCGAAAGCCUGAUGCAGCGACGCCGCGUGAGGGAUGACGGCCUUCGGGUUGUAAACCUCUUUCAGUAGGGAAGAAGCGAAAGUGACGGUACCUGCAGAAGAAGCGCCGGCUAACUACGUGCCAGCAGCCGCGGUAAUACGUAGGGCGCAAGCGUUAUCCGGAUUUAUUGGGCGUAAAGAGCUCGUAGGCGGUUUGUCGCGUCUGCCGUGAAAGUCCGAGGCUCAACCUCGGAUCUGCGGUGGGUACGGGCAGACUAGAGUGAUGUAGGGGAGACUGGAAUUCCUGGUGUAGCGGUGAAAUGCGCAGAUAUCAGGAGGAACACCGAUGGCGAAGGCAGGUCUCUGGGCAUUUACUGACGCUGAGGAGCGAAAGCAUGGGGAGCGAACAGGAUUAGAUACCCUGGUAGUCCAUGCCGUAAACGUUGGGCACUAGGUGUGGGGGACAUUCCACGUUUUCCGCGCCGUAGCUAACGCAUUAAGUGCCCCGCCUGGGGGAGUACGGCCGCAAGGCUAAAACUCAAAGGAAUUGACGGGGGCCCGCACAAGCGGCGGAGCAUGCGGAUUAAUUCGAUGCAACGCGAAGAACCUUACCAAGGCUUGACAUGUUCCAGACCGGGCUAGAGAUAGUCCUUCCCUUCGGGGCUGGUUCACAGGUGGUGCAUGGUUGUCGUCAGCUCGUGUCGUGAGAUGUUGGGUUAAGUCCCGCAACGAGCGCAACCCUCGUUCCAUGUUGCCAGCACGUAGUGGUGGGGACUCAUGGGAGACUGCCGGGGUCAACUCGGAGGAAGGUGGGGAUGACGUCAAAUCAUCAUGCCCCUUAUGUCUUGGGCUUCACGCAUGCUACAAUGGCCGGUACAAUGGGUUGCGAUACUGUGAGGUGGAGCUAAUCCCUAAAAGCCGGUCUCAGUUCGGAUUGGGGUCUGCAACUCGACCCCAUGAAGUCGGAGUCGCUAGUAAUCGCAGAUCAGCAACGCUGCGGUGAAUACGUUCCCGGGCCUUGUACACACCGCCCGUCAAGUCCCGAAAGUUAAAACACCAGAAGCCGAUUCCUCCCCCCCCUCUCGUUCCACCAAGCAGUCGAGUU
rnacentral:rRNA from 1 species